AUCUGAGGCUUGUCGACACAUC
rnacentral:miRNA from 1 species